rnacentral:rRNA from 1 species
UCAAGCUAAUAAGAGCGUAGGGUGGAUGCCUUGGUACCAAGAGCCGAAGAAAGACGUGGUAAGCUGCGAAAAGCCAUGGGGAGCUGCAAACAAGCAUUGAUCCAUGGAUAUCUGAAUGGGGAAACCCGGCGGUCGUUGAGGGCCGUCAUCGUAACAUGAAUACAUAGUGUUACGAAGGGAACCCGGUGAACUGAAACAUCUAAGUAGCCGGAGGAAGAGAAAGAAACAUCGAUUCCCAAAGUAGCGGCGAGCGAAAUGGGAAGAGCCUAAACCGAAUCUCUACGGAGAGUCGGGGUUACGGACCUGCGGAAUCGAGAUUACUCAUAGUCGAAUAGCAUUGGAAAGUGCAGCCGGAGAGGGUAAAAGCCCCGUAGGCGAAAUGAGUAAUUGAGAGGCGGGUAUCCAGAGUACCACAGGACACGAGGAAUCCGGUGGGAAGUCGGGGGGACCACCCCCCAAGGCUAAAUACUACUUGGUGACCGAUAGCGUAUAGUACCGUGAGGGAAAGGUGAAAAGAACCCCGGGAGGGGAGUGAAAGAGAACCUGAAACCCUAUGUUUACAAGCAGUGGGAGCGCAAGCGACCAUGUACUUUUUGUAGAACGGGCCGGCGAGUUACUGUGUGUAGCGAGGUUAAGGUGUAGAGCACCGGAGCCGUAGCGAGAGCGAGUCUCAAAUGGGCGAAUAGUUGCAUACAGUAGACCCGAAACCGGGUGACCUAUCCAUGGACAGGAUGAAGCGGUGGUAAAGCACCGUGGAGGUCCGAACCACACGUAUGUUGAAAAAUGCGGGGAUGAGCUGUGGAUAGCGGAGAAAUUCCAAUCGAACUCGGAGAUAGCUGGUUCUCCCCGAAAUAGCUUUAGGGCUAGCCUCGAUUUAGAUUAUUGGGGGUAGAGCACUGAAUGGGCUAGGGGGCCACAAAGCUUACUGAACCCUAUCAAACUGCGAAUACCAAUUAAUUGAUGAUCGGGAGUCAGACAGUGAGAGAUAAGUUCCAUUGUCGAAAGGGAAACAGCCCAGAUCCACGACUAAGGUCCCAAAAUACACGUUAAGUGGAAAAGGAUGUGCAGUUGCACAGACAACCAGGAUGUUGGCUUAGAAGCAGCCACUCAUUCAAAGAGUGCGUAAUAGCUCACUGGUCGAGUGAAUGUGCGCCGAAAAUAUACCGGGGCUAAACGUGAUACCGAAGUCUGGGGAUCAAGAAAUUGAUCGGUAGGGGAGCAACGCAUACGGACAGAAGCAGAAGCGGGAGCGACUGUGGACUGUAUGGGAGAGAGAAUGCCGGCAUGAGUAGCGAGAGCAAAGUGAGAAUCUUUGCCGUCGAAAGCCUAAGGUUUCCUGAGGAAGGCUCGUCCUCUCAGGGUAAGUCGGGACCUAAGCCGAGGACAACAGUCGUAGGCGAUGGAUAACAGGUUGAUAUUCCUGUACCGUACUUAAGCGUUUGACUGAAGCAGUGACACAGAAGGAUAGACAGACCGAGUGAAUGGAAGAACUCGGCCAAGCAGUGAGGCUGACAUGUAGUGAAGUACGCAUGUUAAGGCUGGGCUGUGAUGGGGACUGAAGAUUAGUAAGGAAGCUGUUGAAUUCACACUGGCGAGAAAAGCUGCUAAGGAGCGAGAGUAUGCCCGUACCGCAAACCGACACAGGUAGGCGAGGAGAGAAUCCUAAGACGAGCGGGAGAACCCUUGUUAAGGAACUCGGCAAAAUGACUCCGUAACUUAGGGAGAAGGAGUGCCUCGAGAGAGGCCGCAGAGAAUAGGCCCAAGCGACUGUUUACCAAAAACACAGGUCUGUGCGAAGUAGAGAUACGACGUAUACGGGCUGACGCCUGCCCAGUGCCGGAAGGUUAAGGGGAAGUGUUAGGGCAACCGAAGCACGGAACUUAAGCCCCGGUGAACGGCGGCCGUAACUAUAACGGUCCUAAGGUAGCGAAAUUCCUUGUCGGGUAAGUUCCGACCCGC